UCAUUACCGAACUGUCGACAGGAGUUGUUGCUGGCCCUCGGAAGGGGGCACGUGCACGCUCUGUUUACACAUCCACUCACACCUGUGCACCCUCUGUAGUUCUAUGGCCUUGGGGACCCCGUCCCCUUGCCGUGGUCCUACGUCUUUACACACACACCGUAACAAAGUCUCAUGGAAUGUAUGUCGCGUUUAACGCAAUACAAUACAACUUUCAGCAACGGAUCUCUUGGCUCUCGCAUCGAUGAAGAACGCAGCGAAAUGCGAUAAGUAAUGUGAAUUGCAGAAUUCAGUGAAUCAUCGAAUCUUUGAACGCACCUUGCGCCCUUUGGCUAUUCUGAAGGGCAUGCCUGUUUGAGUAUCAUGAACACCUCAACUCUCAUGGUCAGCCAUGAUGAGCUUGGACUUUGGGGGUCUUGCCGGCCUAGUGUCCGCUCCUCUCAAAUGGAUCAGCUUCCCAGUGUUUGGUGGCGUCACAGGUGUGAUAACUAUCUACGCUUGUGGUUUUCCGCCAUUAACCUUCAGCAAUGGAGGUUCGCUGGAGCUCACAGAUGUCUCUCCUUGGGGAGGACAGCUUCUUGAACGUCUGAUCUC
rnacentral:misc_RNA from 1 species